CUGAGCUCAGCAGGGAAACUGGUGACUUCUGGCCUUUGCUCCUUCUGGGGUCACUGGGGAGUGGAGUCAGCACCGUGGCACAAAAACAGAGGGUGAGAACUGGCAGUGCUUUCCUCAUUUCUGAGAGCUUCAGGAUCGACCUCUAGGGGACAGGACAGUGAAUAAGGUCCCAAAAAUGUGUGGAGCCACACUCCAGGACAUGGUCAGCGUCCAAGACUGGCAGAAAAAUGACUUAUCAUAAGGAAGACACAAGGGAGUCCUGAAAACAAGAGUUCUUCAGUGGCUUAAGAGUCACGGAAUGGUUUGGGUUGGAAGGGACCUUAAGGAUCAUCUUGUUCCAACCCCCUGACAUGGGCAGGGACAACUUCUACUCGAGCAGGUUGCUCCAAGCUCUGUCCAACCUGGCCUUGAACCUUUCCAAGGAUGAGAGAAUAUCCUGCUAAAAGCUCUCAGGUUCUCAGGAAGUGCGUCUGGAUACUGGUAAUAGGGAAAAAAGGCCUAGAUCUAUGUAGAAAUAAACAGAUUUAAAAUUAUUUCUGUCAAUAUGCUGAGAUUCAUUCUUUAAAAAAAUGAUAAAA